GGAAUGGGAGGAGUGGU
rnacentral:miRNA from 1 species